ACCUCCAGACUACACUCUGAGGCCAUUCCUGAAAAACCUGGUAAGCCUAUUAGACUCAUUAGAGAUCAUGGACUGUCAUCCCAUCAUAGUGUGUGGUGAUUUUAAUGAGAAUGUUUUAUCCAGUGCAAACAAACCAAUCCUGGAGCUGUUUGAGUCUAGGGGAUAUGCACAGGUCAUCACUACCCCUACCACAGAGAAGAACACACUGCUUGACCUAAUUUUCAUUUCUCAGCCAGAGCGAUGUCUCCAUUCUGGAGUCAUGAAGACCUACUAUAGUUACCAUGACCCUGUAUACUGUGUAUUGUCCUGUGAUGAUUCAUGAUCUAGAUCUUUGACUACAAGCUGAGACACUCAGGACUGAACAGACUGCACAGUUUCUGUGACCGAGCCUCCAAAACAUCUUCUUUGAAACCACACAUGAUAGAAGGGCUUUAUAUUUGCAGCAGCACUACUAAAGUUGGCAGGAAUGUUGCUGCAGGAAAACAUCCCUGGAGAUCACCAUCAUUGCCAGACUGACUGUGCCUCCUCUGUGCAGUGUCAAGAUCCUCCCUAAAUGAGUGUUCCUCAGCUAUCCUGCUUCUGUGCUGCUUGCCACACAUCAAACACUGGCCGGAUGACAGG